rnacentral:lncRNA from 1 species
UGGGCUAUGACCCUGUUACCUGGCACCGGCUCCAACACUGCUAAGCAACUGUACGGACAAAACUUUCCGUGAACUUUGAAGAAUUGCGGCUUCUCUUUUCCUUAAGAAAAGCGAGAGGACAUUUUGGGAGGGAGAAGACUAUAAUGUGAGAAAUACUCCAGAAACAGGCCCACAAAGGUAGCCCAACCCCCCUAUACUUCAUGCUUUUGGAAAAGAUAUAAAAGCCAUGGCAUCUAUCCACAAUCUGAAGACCACUUGAAGUACAGUGUUCAGGUCUUCUGCACUGCGCAACCUACCAUAGGACUGAUUUAACUGAGCUUCAAACAUGCUGUACAGGAAUACACUCAUCUUCCUCUCUCUGGCUGUUCUGCUGGUAAAAGCUGACUUUGAUUUAGAUCAGGGCUCCCAGAACUCGCAAGCAAUGUCCACAGACCAGGACUCCACGUCUGAUGAAGUUCCCACAGAAAGCAUGAAUUCCAUUUCUUCAGAUCAGCCCAAAGAUGAGUCUUACUAUUUCAAUGGAGGGGCUAAAGAUGUUAGCAGCAUAAGCUCUGAAAGUGAUGUUAGUGAACCUCUACCUAGCAACGAAAUCAACGAAGAUGGUACCAAUUCCAGCAUUGAGGAUCAGGAUGAAGACCGGAACUCUAGCAUUGACGAUGAUACAGGGAAACGCUAAAUCGGAUGAAGGGACUGCUGUUGGAUUUUCAAGGAAAGAGACAAAUGCUAGGGCCUGCAUUCUUCUGUUUUAGUUACAAAUAGAUUGUUAAACUGAUUUUGUCAAAUUUUGACUUUUAAUUUGUGAUUAUCUUCUCAUGCAUACAGUAUUUUACACUUUUUAAAAAUAAUACUUUCAAAUGGAUAAAAAAAGGAAAAUAAUAUUUCUUUCUUACAUGAUACCUUGCAUUUUUUAAUAAACUUUCCCAAG